AAUGGACACUGUAAAAGCACCAAGAAUACUAUGAACUAUUACAGGUACAUACGCGUAGGGUCACUUGUUAUACAGUGGCUAUACCAGAAACAGUGGCUCAGCAACAGUAUUUGGGAAAGGGGCAGAGAUAUCUAUUCGCUAUAUUCACUCUUCGAACGCGGUUGACUAGUGUACAAGUUCAUGCCAGUUCGCCGGCGAAAAUUAUGUUAACUUUCUGUGUUAGUGGAUUUUUUAGUUUUUCAUAAAAAAAAAGUUGUUUUCAAGAAUGCCUCGCCCGGAUAAGCCGCGGUCUAUUGGGACCCAUACUGAAGCAAAGAUGAAAGAAGCUCUCGAACAUAUGAAAUCUGGGAUGAGAAUCGAAAACCAACAAAAUUAGGUCGCAGUAUGAUCGCCACCGAUACUCCAGAAAAAAAUGAAAUCGAACUUGCCAAAGCAUCAGCAAAAACUAAGAAUAAAGAAAGUAAACAAAAAAAGGUGUCAGAAAAGUAAUGCAAGGUGAUUCAGAUGAUGAAAAACAGAAAAAGAAAAGAAGAAAAUUAGUCAAGAAACCGAUCAAAGUGAAUCUGAAGAAGAAGAGCUGGAUGAUAAUGUUGUUUAUCAAGAAUCUGAUGAAGAUCAAGACUGGUUGGAAGAAGAAAACGAAAAUAAAUACAAAAUUUUGACUGAACAAGAUAUUAAUGAGCCUCUGCCGCGGCUUCCUAAGGAAGGAGAAUACGUUUUAGUUCAAUUUACGACAAAGAAGAAAAAGCUUUUUUACAUUGGUAAAGUUAUUGGAGAAAGGAAUAAAAAUCUAGAAUACUAUAUUAGUUUUCUCAGGAAGAAAGCUUGUAAUAAAUAUCAUUUGCCUGCUAUUCCAGAUUUGUCAAAUGUAAAAGAUGAUGAUGUGAAAUUCAUACUGCCUAAACCCACUUUUUCCGGUAGUACCACACGCCAGCAGAAUUAUUACAGUUUCUCUAUUGAUUUGACGCAACUGAAUAUGCUCUAACAAUGUUUCCAUUAAGUUUUGGAUCUACUUUUUUGAUUUUGCCUAUUUUUUUGAUAACUAAGUUGGUUAAGUUUUUAUAAUAAUUUUUAAAUUGAUGUGCAAUUUUGAAAGUUUUGAUUGUUUAUUUGUUAGGAAUGUAUUCCUGUUUUGCUUUAAUAAUGUUUAGGUUUAUGCAGUUCGCUGCUAUAAGAAAACAAUUAUUAUGAGUACAAAAAUAAAAGACUGAUUAAAUGUGAA